CACACUGUAGCUUAAUGAAAGCAUUAGGCUUUUAAUCUAAUGAUGGGCCCUAAAAUAACCUCGGCCUCGGUGUGG
rnacentral:tRNA from 1 species